rnacentral:rRNA from 1 species
UACAGAGGUCUCAAGCGUUGUUCGGAUUCAUUGGGCGUAAAGGGUGCGUAGGCGGCGCGGUAAGUCGGGUGUGAAAUUUCGAGGCUUAACUCCGAAACUGCAUUCGAUACUGCCGUGCUUGAGGACUGGAGAGGAGACUGGAAUUUACGGUGUAGCGGUGAAAUGCGUAGAUAUCGUAAGGAAGACCAGUGGCGAAGGCGGGUCUCUGGACAGUUCCUGACGCUGAGGCACGAAGGCCAGGGGAGCAAACGGG